rnacentral:rRNA from 1 species
UCCAGACUCCUACGGGAGGCAGCAGUGGGGAAUAUUGCACAAUGGGGGGAACCCUGAUGCAGCGACGCCGCGUGGGUGAAGGAGCACCUCGGUGCGUAAAGCCCUAUCGGCAGGGAAGAAACAGACGGUACCUGACUAAGAAGCCCCGGCUAACUACGUGCCAGCAGCCGCGGUAAUACGUAGGGGGCAAGCGUUAUCCGGAUUCACUGGGUGUAAAGGGAGCGUAGACGGCGACGCAAGUCUGGAGUGAAAGCCCGGGGCCCAACCCCGGGACUGCUCUUGGAACUGCGUGGCUGGAGUGCAGGAGGGGCAGGCGGAAUUCCUGGUGUAGCGGUGAAAUGCGUAGAUAUCAGGAGGAACACCGGUGGCGAAGGCGGCCUGCUGGACUGCAACUGACGUUGAGGCCCGAAAGCGUGGGGAGCAAACAGGAUUAGAUACCCUCGUACCG